CUGCCCUUCGCGGGGGACAACAGUCCGAAAGGAUUGCUAAUACCGCAUACGUCAGCGAGGUCUUCGGACCACGUUGGGAAAGACGGCCUCUUCAUGAAAGCUGUCACCGGAGGAUGAGUCCGCGGCCCAUCAGCUAGUUGGCGGUGUAAGAGACCACCAAGGCUAAGACGGGUAGCUGGUCUGAGAGGAUGGCCAGCCACAUUGGGACUGAGAUACGGCCCAG
rnacentral:rRNA from 1 species